rfam:Oryza brachyantha chromosome 5, whole genome shotgun sequence.
CAAUGUUUUGACUAUUCGUCUUAUUUGAAAUUUUUUGUGUUUAAUGUUUUUAUUGUUAUUAGAAGAUAAAAUAUAAAUAGUACUUUAUGCGUGACUAAUUUUUUUUAAGUUUUUGUAUAAUUUUUUUUAAAUAAAACGAAUGGCUAAAGCAUUAGGC